rnacentral:lncRNA from 1 species
UUUAUAGUAUACUACACAAUAUGAAAAAUCUAUAUUUUUCAAUGUAGGAUUCAAUACAAAUGAACUUAAUGUAAGAGAAUCUCCAAUGCGUAGCUCUAGCGCUGGAUCAAGCCAUGCGACUAGCGCCGAGCGCGCGCUGGCGCACCAAGGUGCUUCAAAGCGAGGAUCCGGGGAGAGCUUGGUGCGAGGACGUUUGAGGAAGGUGCGUGCUAUGCACACUAUGAUUUAAAAGAGAGAGAGAGAGAGAUGCAGUGAGAAGAAGAAGAAGCACCGUUGAGAAGAAGAAGGCGAUUGUAUUUAAUUUGGAACAGUGGGCUUUUUGUCAUAUUUAAUUUUUAUUGGGCUUUUAUUUAACUUCUUUUAAUUUUUUAUAAUUUUUUAAUAAUUGUAAGUCUCAAAUUUAAAUUUAAUAAAUUUUUAAUUUUCAAAUGAAGAGAUUAAUUUGAAUGAAAUAGAAAUAAAAUAGAAAUGGAUAAAUUAAUUAGAGCUCCUUAUACAACCAAUGCAUUGGAGAGGAAAGGCUAAGGUGAGGAUCACCUAGGGAUAGCAGUGGAUCUUGGACCUGGUCCAGAUCCGUGGAUCCAGAUCCGUAAAAUUACGGAUGGAUCUCAAUUUUUUGGACCCGAUGGAUCUGGAUCUGGAUCUGGAUCUCAAUUUUGAAAACGGAUCUGAAUCUGGAUCUUGAAAUUUUAGAUCCGGAUCCGGCCCAGAUCCGACCCGUGGAUCCGUUUUAUUUUAUAUAUAUUUUUUAUAUUUUAUAUUUUAUAUUUAGUUUACUAAUAAUAUCAACUAAAUUAAAAAUAAUAAAUAAAUUAUAUUCAAAAGAAUAAAAAUUAAAAAUAAUUAGAUAAAAGUAUUUUGUGUUAUAUUUUUCAUGAUGGAAAUUAGAUGUUGUUGAUUUUGUGAUUUUUUUUAAUUUAAUUUAAAAAUAGUAGAUCCAUGGAUCUGGACCCGUGACCGCGGAUUGACGGAUCUGGAUCUGGAUCAAAAUUUUAGAUCCACGGAUCUGGAUCUGGAUCUGGAUCUGUAUAUGAAAACGGAUCUGGAUCUGGUAUUGGCCAACCCGUCCAGAUCCGGCCUGUUGCCAUCCCUAGGAUCACCUCCUUAGAGCUCCUUUUUAAGCUGUAAAUGCUCUAAAUUCUCUUUUUAUAAUGCACUACACAUGAUAGAGAAGUAUACACCUAUCAUUUGUUGUUAAAAUUCAAUACUUAUUUUAAUCUAUAAAUGCAUUUAAAAUAAGGAUAAAAUAGAACUGAAAUUUGUUGUAAUAUUUUUUUAAUUAUAACACUUUAAUUUUCAAUUAACGUAGAAUUUUAAAUAUAAUUUUAGUUUUUAAUUAAUGUAGGAUUGAAUUUGAAUUUUAAAAUACAAUUUAUGCUGUUAAUUUAAUGUUUAAUUUAAUUUAAAAGCACAAUAAAAUGGAAAAUAAAAUUUAAGAGCCCAAGUGCAAAGAACCCCAAUAUCAAAAAGAGGCAUAAAAAUAGUGGGAGCAUUUAAGAGCCCCUGAAGGGACUCUCGGCUGCGGAUACUAUAAUGGUGAGCAUCUUAAAAUGAAGAUAAAAUGUAAAAAAUAGUAAUAAAUUUUUUAAAAUAGGAAAGCAAAAUAUGUUUGGAUACUAACUAGGCGCCAAAUGGUGCAUGUGCAGCCGAAUUCGUUGAAGUUCUCAACAAUAUUUAAUUUUAAUUUUGAAUAUUAAAUGUCGAUCUCAAUUCUCAACGGUAUUCAUCACAUUGUAUUUUAUUAUUAUUAUUAUUAUUAUUUCAGAUACAAGAUAAAUGAAUGUUUACAAUAAUCAAAUUAUUACAAAUUAGAAAUCCAAAUAAAUAUAACUCAACAUCCAUAUAAAAUAUAGUAAUUAACUCACACAACCUAUUACUAAUAAAUAAGCAUCGUGAUUUAUUCUUAGUAAAUUUGAUAAUAUUCUCGAAGAUAGUGUUUUUUUGUUAAUUUCAUACUUUUCUCAUAUAUCAAGGCAUGCAUAUAUAUUUGGUGGCAUCUAUAUAUAAUUUUUUGACUCGACUAGUGAAAUACAUAGUCAUUUUAAGUUAGUAAAGAUAAAACUAAUCAUUAACAUAACAAAGAUAAAAAAAAUAGUGACUUUUACUAUUUUUACGCAUAAUUUUUGAUCAAUAAUACGUUUAAUCGUUAUAAUUGCUUUUUAAAUAGAACAAUUUACAACUAAGAAUAAUUUUAAUUGUGAAUUGCCCUAUUUCAACGACAAUUCACAAUCAAUCUUAUCUUGAUCAUGAGUUACGUACCAAACUUAUUAUUCAUCUUAUUUUUUUUAGUUUAUUCAUCUUUAAAAUAUGAAAGUGACUAUUGUGAUAUAUUAAAUCAAAUUUCUAUACCUCAUGAAUAAGUACAAUUAACCAGAUCUUACAACAGCAAAUCCUCAAUCGGCAAAUCGUUUCUCAAUAUGCAUAUAUAAAUAAUUAUUUUUAUUUCAAAUUGGACCCUAAUAUCUCGCUAAUUAUGUCGGAAAUCACAUAUUAUUUUCCAUGCAGAUAUGCAUGCCAUUGCCAAAUUCCGUAAGCCAAUAUUUGAUGUGAUUGUGACAACUAUGCCAAAGUGUAUUUAAUGAUAACCGUGAUUAUAUAAUGAUUUUGACAACAUAUACAACUUCAAUAAUUAGGCUAACUUAUUGUAUACGUGAAAUCAUAGUAAUUAAUUAUAGAUGAUGAUAAUGUUUUUCCAAAAUAAAAGUAUAGCAGAUUAUAUUGCAUUCUCAACAGCCUACUAUUGACGGAAAGAAAAAUGAGAUUUAUCGCGUACAAUAAACUAUUAACCAAUCUAGACUAGUCUACUAUGAUAGCAAUGAAAAAAAAAGACUUAUUCUAAUAUAUAAAAUGCAUUGUAUAUUUUAAAGAAGUAUUAUUAUAAUACGUAAAAAAACCAGUAAAAAUCAUAAUGAAAAAACCUAAAACAGGAAACCCGCUGAAAGCACAGAAAACACUUAUUAGGGAUCGGGCCUUAUCAAAAUCUUUUUGACAAAAACCAUGUGAGAAAAACGUCAGUAAAGAAAAAAGAGUACCCGUAUGUUACAAUAGCAAAACAAAUAAUCUACAAAACAAUUAAAGAUUUACAAUAGCAAAACAAAAUAAUCUAGCGCACCAGAGACCUGUGAAAACCUCGUCCAAGCGCAAAUAUGAUCUACCGAACACGAACAGCCGUGUAAGGGGGAAAAAAUUACCAAUGUUAACAUAUGUAUUGAGCUUACUAGGCUAUUAUAUUAGUCAGCUACAAAACAAUUACUAAGAUUUAUCGAGGUACAAAAUGUGUCAAUUUUCAAAACCUACGUAGAAAAAUU